AGGGCACCACCAGGAGUGGAGCCUGCGGCUUAAUUUGACUCAACACGGGGAAACUCACCCGGCCCGGACACCGGAAGGAUUGACAGAUUGAUAGCUCUUUCUUGAUUCGGUGGAUGGUGGUGCAUGGCCGUUCUUAGUUGGUGGAGCGAUCUGUCUGGUUAAUUCCGAUAACGAACGAGACUCUAGCCUAUUAAAUAGACGUCGGGUUCUCUGCACUCGACGGUCUUCUUAGAGGGACAAGGUGCUUUUAGCACCGCGAAACAGAGCAAUAACAGGUCUGUGAUGCCCUUAGAUGUCCUGGGCUGCACGCGCGCUACAAUGAAAGUAUCAACGUGUAUUUCCUAGACCGAGAGGUCUGGGUAAACCGCUGAAUCACUUUCAUGCUUGGGAUUGUGAACUGAAACUGUUCACAUGAACCUGGAAUUCCCAGUAAGUGCGAGUCAUUAACUCGUAUUGAUUACGUCCCUGCCCUUUGUACACACCGCCCGUCGCUACUACCGAUUGAAUUAUUUAGUGAGG
rnacentral:rRNA from 1 species